GCGAGGCUCUGCGGAGACCAGGAGUUAGACUGUAGGACGAUCUCGGGCACCACGUGUUCCUGGUACUCGCCGGCCGGAGCCCCCGGCUUCCCGGGGCCGGGGGACCUUAGCGGCACCCACACACAGCCUACUUUCCAAGCGGAGCCAUGUCUGGUAACGGCAAUGCGGCUGCAACGGCGGAAGAAAACAGCCCAAAGAUGAGAGUGAUUCGUGUGGGUACCCGCAAGAGCCAGCUUGCUCGCAUACAGACGGACAGUGUGGUGGCAACAUUGAAAGCCUUGUACCCUGGCCUGCAGUUUGAAAUCAUUGCUAUGUCCACCACAGGGGACAAGAUUCUUGAUACCGCACUCUCUAAGAUUGGAGAGAAGAGCCUGUUUACCAAGGAGCUUGAACAUGCCCUGGAGAAGAAUGAAGUGGACCUGGUUGUUCAUUCCUUGAAGGACCUGCCCACUGUGCUUCCUCCUGGCUUCACCAUCGGAGCCAUUUGCAAGUAAGAGUCUUGCAAGCGGGAAAACCCUCAUGAUGCUGUUGUCUUUCACCCAAAAUUUGCUGGGAAGACCCU
rnacentral:sRNA from 1 species